AGAGUUUGAUCCUGGCUCAGAUUGAACGCUGGCGGAAUGCUUUACACAUGCAAGUCGAACGGCAGCACGGGAGCUUGCUCCUGGUGGCGAGUGGCGAACGGGUGAGUAAUGCGUCGGAACGUACCGAGUAAUGGGGGAUAACGCAGCGAAAGUUGUGCUAAUACCGCAUACGCCCUGAGGGGGAAAGUGGGGGAUCGCAAGACCUCACGUUAUUCGAGCGGCCGACGUCUGAUUAGCUAGUUGGUGAGGUAAUGGCUCACCAAGGCGACGAUCAGUAGCGGGUCUGAGAGGAUGAUCCGCCACACUGGAACUGAGACACGGUCCAGACUCCUACGGGAGGCAGCAGUGGGGAAUUUUGGACAAUGGGCGAAAGCCUGAUCCAGCCAUUCCGCGUGAGUGAAGAAGGCCUUCGGGUUGUAAAGCUCUUUCAGCCGGAACGAAACGGUACGCACUAACAUUGCGUGCUAAUGACGGUACCGCAGAGAG
rnacentral:rRNA from 1 species